AUAAUUCUGUAAUCAUCCUCUGUCGAAAAUAAUGGUCUACAAAUUGUCCGUUACCCUGGAGCUGUACAAGUCACACACAGCUCCAUUGGAGAGAAAACUGGAUGGAACCAUUUGACUGAAAAUCCAUGUCAAAAGGCCAACAAGAAAGAUCUGAGACACUGCAGAAAGAGCAGGAAUAAAUAAAAGGUGAAGACAGACAGAGACCAGACAAGGAGGACUCAAUUACAGACUGACAGAAGACUCAAGGAAGAAAAUGAAGCUGGUCCUGUGAAGAACUGUUGAAACAGCUGUAGAGGAAUUGUGGUGGAGGCAGUAAUGGCUCCUUUAGUAGCAGAGAAUAGAAAGAUCUCGAAAACAAAGCCUAUUGUCAGGAGACUUGCACCCAUCCUGGCCUACUUCCAAGUAGAAACAAAAACAGAAACGAAGAUAUCCACGAUACCUAAUGUUACAAGGAGAAGAAAGCACUUGUAAUCACAAGGGUACUGAGAAAAGAAGUUAAAUGAAAAAUGGAUUGUGGAUUAUAGCCUGAGCAGAUUUGAGCCUAAAUGUAAUAUAACAGCUUGUGGCAAAUGGAGGUAGCAGGAGAGUAGAGCCAACUAGCCAAAAAUCCCCUGGAAAGGUGAAACUGAAAUCACUCAUUCAUUCAAAAAGUGUUUACUGAGUAGCUUCAAAGAGCAAAUAUUAGGUUAGAUGCAGUGGAUGAUGUAAGGAUGAUUCAGACAACUAUUUCUCAUGGACUUUGCUUACUGAGCCAUCAACACACGGCCACCUUUUUCUAGAUGAAGUAUCCCAUCAUUUGAUUCUGGAUUAAGAGCUCUUUGAGAGCAGAGACCAUAGCUUCACCUGAGUAUCCCCAGAGCCUGACGUUAGACAAAAGAGUGAUAUCAUACAAGUGAACAUCUAAUAUUGUACUUCAUUGUGGUGCUCAGUGAAGAUGCAGUUAGAGGAAAUUAAGGACACAAUGAAUUGGCAGAAACCAGAGAAAAUCAACUUUCACUGAAGAUUUUUUUUAAUAUGUAGAAGAAGCUCACAUACUUCAGGAAAACCGCAUGAAAAGUACCGAAGAAAUUCAGUGUCCAGAUGUUUCAGAAUCCAGAUGGCCUAAGAAUCCUCUAUCACCCAGAAAGGAGGAAAAUGUGCAUGAAAGUGGAACAUUUAAAAGAAAAAAAUAAUUUAGCUUUGGCUAUGUAAUGGCAACAUGCAGAGCUUGAGAAAAAGCUUCUUUUCCUAAAGCAGCAACUUAAUAAAAGGCAUGUUAUAGGCUUUAUCAGUAAGCCAAAAUUUCAGCCUUGCCUCUUCUUCCCAUCACCAUUAAGAGGCUUGCAGAGGUCCACACUCUUUAAAGGGCAGACAGCAUGGAAGAACUAUCAUGUACAAUUUGAAGUAGCAGCUAAAAUUGGAAUGGUCACGAGAAAGCCUGUUUCUUUGCAAUUAAAUUGACAAGCUGUCUAUGAUUACCCUAGGGAACUUGGCAGCUGAGUGAUAAAAAGACUGCAGUGUGUUGAAAGGUCUAACGCAACUUACUAGGUGGACAAAGACCACAUCUGCUUAACAUACUGAUUGGGAGAGUUGUGGAAUGUACUUGGCUACAUUAGCUGAGGAGAGAUACUAAGGAUACUUUUUCCUCUCUAAGACCCUGUGCUUAGAACCUGUUGUAGAAACUACCCACAAAUAUUUGGAAGCAUGUAUGAAAAACAGUUUAGCACAAUAUCUGAUGUUAUUCAGCAUGAACCUACCAUUACAAAUCACCAGAAUUGAGCAGAAGUUUAGAAAGAAAUAAUAAUUAAAAAUGCCUUUAAUCUAAUUAUAUUUGUGAAAUUGUAUAUACUUGAUACAAAAAUUGGGUACUUGAGAAGAUUUAUUGUGAUAACAAUAAAUGAAAGAAAAUGCAUGAUUUAAUACAAAA